UACAGAGGAUGCAAGCGUUAUCCGGAAUGAUUGGGCGUAAAGCGUCUGUAGGUGGCUUUUUAAGUCCGCCGUCAAAUCCCAGGGCUCAACUCUGGACAGGCGGUGGAAACUACCAAGCUGGAGUACGGUAGGGGCAGAGGGAAUUUCCGGUGGAGCGGUGAAAUGCGUAGAGAUCGGAAAGAACACCAACGGCGAAGGCGACACGCUGGGCCGUACCUGACACUGAUGCGCGACAGCAUGGGGAGCAAACAGG
rnacentral:rRNA from 1 species